UAAUACAGAGGGUGCGAGCGUUAAUCGGAGUUACUGGGCGUAAAGGGCGCGUAGGCGGUUUUAUAAGUGAGAUGUGAAAGGCCUGGGCUUAACCUAGGAACGGCAUCUUAGACUAUAGGACUAGAGUGCAGUAGAGGGUGGCGGAAUUUCCGGUGUAGCGGUGAAAUGCGUAGAGAUCGGAAGGAACACCAGUGGCGAAGGCGGCCACCUGGACUGUCACUGACGCUGAGGCGCGAGAGCGUGGGUAGCAAACAGGAUUAGAUACCCUGGUAGUCCACGCUGUAAACGAUGAGAACUAGAUGUUUGUUUGCGCGAGCGAAUGAGUAUCGAAGCUAACGCGAUAAGUUCUCCGCCUGGGGAGUACGGUCGCAAGAUUA
rnacentral:rRNA from 1 species